GACAACAGAAGCCACAGAAAUCCUCCUCAUCAAAAACAUGACUUUGAUCUCCGUCCUCAUCUGGACUCUCCUCUGCUGCUGCUUCACAGAGUCCAGAGGCCAAGUCACAGUGACUCAGUCUGCAGCAGUGAGAUCUGAACUGGGACGAUCUGCAACCAUCAACUGUAAGACCAGUCAGAGAGUUAAUGAUGGGAACGACUUAUUCUGGUAUCAACAUAGAGAUGGAGAAGCUCCUAAACUUCUCAUUUACUGGGCUACACGUCGACAAUCAGGGAUUCCAGAUCGCUUUUCAGGCAGUGGAUCAAACUCUGACUUCACUCUGACCAUCAGUGGAGUUCAGGCUGAAGAUGCAGCAGUUUAUUACUGUCAGAGUUAUCAUUAUAUCAACAGUCAGCGUGUGUUCACACAGUGA